rnacentral:rRNA from 1 species
GACCAGACUCCUACGGGAGGCAGCAGUGGGGAAUAUUGCACAAUGGGGGAAACCCUGAUGCAGCGACGCCGCGUGAGUGAAGAAGUAUUUCGGUAUGUAAAGCUCUAUCAGCAGGGAAGAUAAUGACGGUACCUGACUAAGAAGCCCCGGCUAACUACGUGCCAGCAGCCGCGGUAAUACGUAGGGGGCAAGCGUUAUCCGGAUUUACUGGGUGUAAAGGGAGCGUAGGUGGCAGGGCAAGUCAGAUGUGAAAACCCGGGGCUCAACCCCGGGAGUGCAUUUGAAACUGUCCAGCUGGAGUGCAGGAGAGGUAAGCGGAAUUCCUAGUGUAGCGGUGAAAUGCGUAGAUAUUAGGAGGAACACCAGUGGCGAAGGCGGCUUACUGGACUGUAACUGACGUUGAGGCUCGAAAGCGUGGGGAGCAAACAGGAUUAGAUACCCGUGUAGUC